CUGCUGUGAUGAUGUCCACGUGGUUUCGCUCACUUCUGAUAUGUGGUGAGGACAGUUUCCUCUUGGCUGUCUGAGCAG
rnacentral:snoRNA from 11 species